AGAAGAAAGAACAAAGCAAGGGUUAAAAAUAAGAAAUUUGGAGGAAAAGAAACUUCGAGGAAAGAAAUGAGCUAUACCCAUCCAGCUGUGCUAUCUGCUGCCCUGUCGGCAGGGAAUGAUGUAUUUUUGAGAAGGACGCGUGUGUAAAGAAACAGUGAUUGAAAACACAUGCGAAUGGAAAGGGAUUUUACCCAGCUCUCCCUCAGCCUGAGAAGAAAGCUGUCCAUUGCACUAAUUGCCACGCGAGCCCCAGAACUGUGUGGCGCUGCCAGGCUCUGAUCCCUCCCUGGAGAGCAGAGACGAAUGCAGAAGGACGGCGCGGGAGGUCAGGGGCAGGAGUACGAGUCGCAGGCUCACAGAAUCAUCAGGGAUGGAUAAGACCUUCAAGAUCAUCAAGUCCAAACAUCAACCUGACCUGCGGAGUUGCUAAAACUUGCCCCACAUCCACAUGACUUUAUAAGACAGAGCUGUAUUUUCCACUUUAACCAAACCUGCCCUGCUCUGCAAGCCAUUUCUUCUCUCUCUGCCCUUCUGCUAGCCCUUGCCAUGCCACUCCUCCCCAUGUAUUCUGGAUGGCGAGGCGAGGCUGUAAUGCCCCACAGCACACCGGCUUCGAACACCUGCAAGGAAUUAAGGGAGGGUGAAAUACUCCCAGGAGCCUGUUGCGCAUCCUUUAGCCUCUACAAAAUCCUGAAUUCCUUUUGCAUGAGAACAUGGGUACAUCUGCUUGCAAUCAUCGUUCCCCAGUCAGCCGGCCUGCCGAAGCAGAAACAUGAUUCUCCACACUUUGGUCAGCAUUCGCAGCCGUGGGGCCAGGAUUGGAGAGGAGCAGAAUAAGCCUGCCUUUCAGCCGCGCUUCCCCAGCAGCCUGCCUGCCCCAGUGCUCACAGUCCUGCGUGCUCCUUGCCCUACUUUCAGGGAUUGAGAAAUGCUUAAAUAAAGAGAAACUUGUUCUGUGGUGGAAAAAUGGUCACUUCUUCUGGCAAGGCAUUUGAGAAGGAGACAGGAAGCAUGUUAUUUUAAAGGUAAACUGAUAAAAUGUUUGUUUGCUGAAGGAGCAGGAGGAAUGUCAAAAACAUGUCUUUAUAUACUACUGUACAAAAAGUUAUUUGAGGAUAUAGCUCUGCCAUGACAACAACUGCAGGGUGUUGUAAGGGAAUAUUUUAUCUUUCACUUGUCUGCAGGCUCAUAUAGGAUCUUUUUCUGGCCAUAAGCAGGCUCUUUGUCAGUGUAUGCACGUGUGUGUGCAUGACUGUGUGAAUGCACACUCUAUAGCCAUGGAAAUAGCUAAAAAUUUUACAAGGACAGUGAAUAGACACAGAGGAAUACUAUCAGAUUCUCUGGUGAUGCCAUUGUUUGGUUCUUAAUGUUUUCCCCAGCUGAUCAGCAAGGAAAUAGCUAAAUAUCCCUAUAUUAAUGAAAGCCUCAUGCUGUCCCAUUGCAGGUUGUAGAAUAGAAUCACAGAAUCAUUAUGUUUGGAAAGGACCACCAAGAUCAUCCAGUCCAACCAGCAGCCCACCCCCACCAUGCCCACUGACCACGUCCCUCAGUGCCACAUCCACACGGCUCUUGAGCACCUCCAGGGAUGGUGACUGCACCACCUCCCUGGGCAGCUGUGCCACUCCUUCUGAGAAUAAAUCUUUCCUCACAUCCAGCCUGCACCUUGCCAGUAAAACUUGAGACCGUUACCUGUUGUGCUAUUGAUGAGAUAGAUAUAUAGUGCUUCUAUAGAUUUGCCAGAUUAGAUUUAGAAGACAGCAGCCUUGAAUGCUUCUACACAAAAGGACUAAAUUUACUUUAUGAAUGCAAUUAAGAAUGUCAUGUUUUGGGAAUAAAGUGAAGGUAUUCUUAACAAGAGAAAACCUGACCAUCAAGUAGCCCAGUUUUCCUGUGAUUCCUGAAAGCAUGCUGAAGGCAAUGACCACAGCACCCUCUUCAUCCUCAGCUCUGAUUGUGCUUGAGCAUCGUCAGGUGGGACAUCCACCGAUCUGGUUAACAGGACCUGAGCUGACGUCUUGCUAUGUCCCCAGAUGACAUGGCGGCAGAGAGAAUUCUGUAGUGGGAGUCCAGCCAAGGAGACCUUGGCUCUCCAAAGCCUCUGCACUGUUUACAUAUGCCCCACACUCACCAGCCUUUUGGCUCUGCUUUUGCUGAGGGACAGCAUGCUCCUCCACCCUUACAUGACAUUCAGAAAUCUAGCUCUUUAAGAGAGGAUCAUCUGUGAAGCCAACUGGCAGCUCCAAGUGUUCUCGCUCUCCUUUGGCAAUUUUAUUAGCUAUAGUUGCAGAAAUGUAGAUCAUCAGGAAUUUGAAAUUUCAGUACAUUCAAAGAAACGCAAAGCCUUUUUGUAACAUUUUCCAGUAGGGGAACACAGGCAGACACACAGUUAUAUAUCUGGCCUUUACCAUCUUGUAAUUUAGCUAUAUCUUAACUGAGAUGAAGAUGAGAUGCAGGAAUCUAAGCAAAUGAGAGCACAUCCCUGCAAUCUGACAGGAAAGGUUUGCAUGUGUGACAGGUGUAUUUCCUAAUUUCCUCUUCAGGUGCCUUUUACAAAUGUCUGCUUUGAAUCAUAGAAUCAUCAUAGAAUCACAGAAUAGCCUGGCUUGAAAAGGACCUCAAAGAUCAUCUAGUUUCAACCCCCCUGCUAUGUCCAGGGUCGCCAACCACCAGACCAGGCUGCCCAGAGCCACAUCCAGCCUGGCCUUGAAUGCCUCCAGGGAUGGGACAUCCACAACCUCAUAGCAUAGUGUUUGGUUAGCUCUCCAGCUUGACUUCCAUACAAGAACCGUUCCCAGUCACCAGGGAUAUUGGUGGACAGGCAGCUUUUUAAAAAAUACGGAACGCAUGUAUUCACUGGUAUGCACAUUUGAACACCACAGUUUAUCCACAUGCAUUCCCAUGCACACAUGCAGAACUUUUAUCCCACAGUAGAACGACUUGUGCUAGUCAAUGAAGAUCCAAAGGAAAGCAUCUGUCAUUAAAAAAGCAAUAGGAAGACACAUUUAUUUAGCACAAGCUGAAAUACAGGCAUGUUUUCAUGCUGUGUUUGGCUUGGCUUACCACAGGCAAGACUUAAUGAAGUACAGAAAGAUUGUCUUAAAGAAACUGUGCAGGGUUUGAUGUUUACUGCGACUUCUCUCUGUUGGCUGCCCCUAAAUGUUCAUUUGGGUGUCGCAACACACUGGCACUCUAAUAAAUCCAUUCUGGUCCUAUUUAGAGAUUUCAUACUCGAUGCCUUUCUUUUUUUAAUACACCUUCCUGCCCUAUGAAUGCUAAUGCAGGUCUUCUUGACCAACCUCUUCCUAAUAAUGACAUAUAGAGAUGAAAACCUCUCCUGUGAUGGGCACAGAUGAGAUUCCUUUAGCUGUGUCAAUAGGCUUUGAAACCACUGAUUGUGAAGUGUGAUUGCUUGUGGAACUGAACAGUUAACAGAGCAUGGGUCAAGCUUGGAUUUUCAGUUAGAGGAAGGGUAAGCCUGUAGGCUAGUGUAUCUCUGUGGUAGUCAGCCAGCCUGCUGGUUGGACCUCAGUGUAGCAGUGGGAAAAUCCACAUCCCUUUUACGCUUCUUUGUAAAGUCUGUGCUUGUAUGGAACUCUUCUUACUAUUUGCCAUGCAGCUUUCAUCCUCAGCAGGUGGCACACGCACAAAUGUUUUGCUUCUGGGAGUAAAUGUAAUUUGUCAAGACCUUAUGCAAUUGUGUUUCACUCCUGCUCCUUAGUCUUUCUGAACUGUUAUGCCCUUUUCCUCCUUCUUCUGCUUACCUGUAGACCCUCAGCUCACCGUAACCCUGUAAUCAGCCACUGUCCUUUUUCAGAUAUUGCUUGAAGCCACUACUGUGCAGUUGAAGGGAAAAUGGUAGCGACUGAUUUGAAGGGAACUUGGCUUCGGCUGACAUUUCUGUGUAAAUUUCAAACAAGCAGUUUCGUAGGUGAUUUGUAAAUGUAUAAACCCUGUGCUACUACCUGUCUUUUCCUUCCUUUCAUAUCUGAGUGAGAUGCAUUGAUUUUAAGACUAGAAGACAUCAGUCUGGUCUGACCACCUGCAUAAUUCAGAUCCUCUGACAUCCCUGGAAAAAUUCAGCUUUCUGAAUCAUAAAGAGUACUUGUGACAGUGAUCAUCUUUUAGAAAGAAAAAUAAUCUCCCCUUGAUUAAGAAAGAUCCACCUGUUCCUAUGUAGUCCUUCUUACAUUCUUCUGCUGUUACCCAAGAAAAAUGUUGUCUUAUACAUAUGCCACUCUGAAAGCAAUGCCUCCUAUUUAUUUCCAUGGAAAUGACAACAGAUACAAAGAGCACAAUGACACUGUUUGAUAGAGCAAAUUUUCAGCUACAAAACACUCUUUUUCGACAGUCACUAUCAUUAGCUAUGCAUUUUCACCAGCGAUAAACAAGAGCCUGCAUGUCACACUACUAACAAUCUGCGUGGCCAUCCAGAACAUGGCUUGUUUUUCACAUCUUUGUCACCACUGCUGAGGCACACCGCCGCUGCCUCUCUGUGCUCACAUCCACUGUUUGGUCGCCACCAACAUUCAGCAGGUGUUGGUGAAUGUCAGUGGGUGCCAUUUUUUUCUGCAUGGAGGAGUUCAUUGACACACCUGUGCUUCCUACGCACUUCUGUCAAAUGCCUUUGUGUCAGAGUGCCACUCUGCUGCCAUCUGUCACAUGGCAAUGAUAUGUAAUGGAAUACUGGUGGGAAGGUUCAACCUCUUCUGCCAUGACACCAAUAUCCACCUCUGAAGUGUCAACGUAGUAAAACAGGAGGCAUUACUUUUGGAGCAGCGAUCAUACCUUCCAUACACUCAUUAAAUCCCAUCUGAUAUUUUUCCUCUGAAGUUAAACUCUAAAGUCAUUACAAUGACUCUGUCUGUAUCUCUGUCUGUACAUUCAUCACCAGUGCACAGAAUCCUAAUACUAGUGAACAAAACAGGCACGUUCCUUAACUGUCAUUUUUCUUGUCACAAAUUAAUCCUUAGAUAAUUUUGGAUAGUUUAUUCCUAAAGCUGUGUAUAGCCUGGGAAAGGAAAAGGCAGAUACAUUUUCCAGUGUUGUGUUAUGAAGAGAAUGUGCUUAGAUCUUUGGAUAAUAUUUCUAUUUUGUAUUUUAUAUAUAUAUAUAUAUAUACUUAUAUGAGUUCAGUUCUCUGCAUGUGAGAGUUUAUUUUUAAAUGAAAAUAUGUGGUGUUUAAAUGGAAACCAGACAUGGAAAUGGGGGAGAAACAUCUGACAAAAAUAAGAUGAGACAGAAUUUGUCCAUAAUGAAACCAAAACGUGUGUCAGCCUUUGUUUUACCUUUUUCUCUUAGGUAUGAGCCUAAUCUGAAGUCGUCUGUGCUCUUACAGGUAAAUGAAUCUGUGCCUUGGGCAGCAGGAGUUUUCCUAGAGGAGACUGAUGGAUUGCUUCUGAUAUUGAGUCUGGUACAAGGACUCCCCAAGGACCUGUCUGCAGCUUUGCUUCCUCUUGUACAACUAAACACCAAUCUGGACACCCAUGGAGAAGAAAGAGAUCACUGCUGCCGAAGAAUUGCUGUACAAUUACCCUGGCUUAGGUCUAUCUCAGCUCCCGUGACAGUUGAAUCAAUAUGUAUUUCAGACACGGAUUAGCUUUCUGGUUAAACUGUGUCUAUUUUGGCCCCAAGCUGAAGGAUCAGACCCACAGAGGGGCUUUUUUUUGCUACCAGGAUAUUUUUGAUAUAGAGAAAACCACACACUGGAGACGGACAGCAACUCCUCCACCCUGCACCCAUCACCAAGGGCAAUAGCUCCAGUGCAUAACAGCAGUUAUGCCUAUGCUAAGAGGAGCUAACAGGGACUUUAGUGUCUUGUCUACAUGAUAAAGGUGGGCAGGUGCUUCUGGUUGGGUGAAUGAAAUGUAGCUUCAGUACAGAAUGUAUGCAGCCCUACCAGCACAUGUACGUGUACCCAGCACAUGACAGCAAAGAGCCACAAGGAAGAAAUGCAUGCCUUCAG
ensembl:lncRNA